UUUCCGUAGGUGAACCUGCGGAAGGAUCAUUCAUAAUAAGUGUGUUAUGGCACUUUUUUAAAUCAAUAUCCACCUGGUGUGCAAUGUCAGGGUUGAUUUUUCUCUCGAGAGGAUCAACGCCAAACAUCAACUAUAUCUCAACUCUUUGUCUGAAAAAUAUUAUGAAUAAAACAAUUCAAAAUAAAACUUUCAACAACGGAUCUCUUGGCUCUC
rnacentral:misc_RNA from 1 species